ACCCACACGGUGCGGUGGUCGCAUCCCUUGAUCCAAUCUGGCAUGAUUAUAUCAAGGAGACGCGGGUUCGAAUCCCGCUGUGGGCG